rnacentral:rRNA from 1 species
GGAAUCUUGCGCAAUGGGCGAAAGCCUGACGCAGCAACGCCGCGUGCGGGAAGAAGGCUUUCGGGCUGUAAACCGCUUUCGGGAGGGAAGAUGGAAUGGGGUAACCCAUUCGGACGGUACCUCCAGAAGCAGCCACGGCUAACUUCGUGCCAGCAGCCGCGGUAAUACGAAGGUGGCAAGCGUUAUUCGGAUUUACUGGGCGUACAGGGAGCGUANGCGGUUCGGUAANCCCUUUGUGAAAUCUCCAGGCUUAACCUGGAAAAGUCGGAGGGGACUGCCGGGCUAGAGGACGGGAGAGGAGCGCGGAAUUCCCGGUGUAGCGGUGAAAUGCGUAGAGAUCGGGAGGAAGGCCGGUGGCGAAGGCGGCGCUCUGGAACGUUUCUGACGCUGAGGCUCGAAAGCGUGGGGAGCAAACAGGAUUAGAUACCCUGGUAGUCCACGCCUUAAACUAUGAAUACUAAGUGUCGGCAGUUUACUGCCGGUGCCGCAGCUAACGCAUUAAGUAUUCCGCCUGGGAAGUACGGCCGCAAGGUUGAAACUCAAAUGAAUUGACGG